GUACUGCUGAAGAGUCCCACACGAGGACGAAACGACCGUACAGUGC
rfam:Schistosoma mattheei strain Denwood, Zambia genome assembly, scaffold: SMTD_scaffold0014907